AUUGAACGCUGGCGGCAGGCCUAACACAUGCAAGUCGAACGAGUGGCGGACGGGUGAGUAAUGUCUGGGAAACUGCCCGAUGGAGGGGGGUAACUACUGGAAACGGUAGCUCAUACCGCAUACAAUCGGAUGUGCCCAGAUGGGAUUAGCUAGUAGGUGGGGUGACGGCUCACCUAGGCGACGAUCCCUAGCUGGUCUGAGAGGAUGACCAGCCACACGUUGACUGAGACACGGCCCAGACUCCUCCGCGAGGCAGCCUUGGGGAAUAUUGCACAAUGGGCGCAAGCCUGAUGCAGCCAUGCCGCGUGUAUGAAGAAGGCCUUCGGGUUUUAAAGUCCUUUCAGCGAGGAGGCGUUACUCGCAGAAGAAGCACCGGCUAACUCCGUGCCAGCAGCCGCGGUAAUUC
rnacentral:rRNA from 1 species